rnacentral:rRNA from 1 species
CCUACGGGAGGCAGCAGUGAGGAAUAUUGGUCAAUGGGCGUAAGCCUGAACCAGCCAAGUAGCGUGCAGGAUGACGGCCCUAUGGGUUGUAAACUGCUUUUAUGCGGGGAUAAAGUGACGUACGUGUACGUUUUUGUAGGUACCGCAUGAAUAAGGACCGGCUAAUUCCGUGCCAGCAGCCGCGGUAAU